CUCUUUUUUCCUCCGGUGGGGGUAACCUGGCCUGGUAAAACUGGGGAUAACUCCCCGGGAAACCGGGAGCUAAUACCGGAAAGUUCCUUGAACCGCAUGGUUCAGGGAUGAAAGACGGUUUCGGCUGUCACUUACAGAUGGACCCGCGGCGCAUUAGCUAGUUGGUGGGGUAAUGGCUCACCAAGGCAACGAUGCGUAGCCGACCUGAGAGGGUGAUCGGCCACACUGGGACUGAGACACGGCCCAGACUCCUACGGGAGGCAGCAGUAGGGAAUCUUCCGCAAUGGACGAAAGUCUGACGGAGCAACGCCGCGUGAGUGAUGAAGGUUUUCGGAUCGUAAAGCUCUGUUGUUAGGGAAGAACAAGUGCGAGAGUAACUGCUCGCACCUUGACGGUACCUAACCAGAAAGCCACGGCUAACUACGUGCCAGCAGCCGCGGUAAUACGUAGGUGGCAAGCGUUGUCCGGAAUUAUUGGGCGUAAAGGGCUCGCAGGCGGUUUCUUAAGUCUGAUGUGAAAGCCCCCGGCUCAACCGGGGAGGGUCAUUGGAAACUGGGAAACUUGAGUGCAGAAGAGGAGAGUGGAAUUCCACGUGUAGCGGUGAAAUGCGUAGAGAUGUGGAGGAACACCAGUGGCGAAGGCGACUCUCUGGUCUGUAACUGACGCUGAGGAGCGAAAGCGUGGGGAGCGAACAGGAUUAGAUACCCUGGUAGUCCACGCCGUAAACGAUGAGUGCUAAGUGUUAGGGGGUUUCCGCCCCUUAGUGCUGCAGCUAACGCAUUAAGCACUCCGCCUGGGGAGUACGGUCGCAAGACUGAAACUCAAAGGAAUUGACGGGGGCCCGCACAAGCGGUGGAGCAUGUGGUUUAAUUCGAAGCAACGCGAAGAACCUUACCAGGUCUUGACAUCCUCUGACAACCCUAGAGAUAGGGCUUUCCCUUCGGGGAAAGAGUGACAGUGGUGCAUCUGUCGUCAGCUCGUGUCGUGAGAUGUUGGGUAGUCCGCAACGAGCGCAACCUGAUCUAGUGCAAGCAUUAAGUGGCACUCUAAGUGACUGCGGUGACAACGAGGAGUGGGAUUGACGUUCAUCAUCAUGCCUAUGACUGCUACAUACGUGCUUUUGCAAGCUUAGUAGCGAU
rnacentral:rRNA from 1 species